AUGAAUCCAAAAGCAUAUUAUUUUUACCUUAUUACUACGGUUGGGAUGAUGGCGCAAUGGAGGUUGGUGCGGCCAUUGCAUUGCCACUUUGCUUGUGCCCAGGUCCAUUCCCGCUAUGACGCUGUGUUGGUAAUUGAAGAGAGAUUGUCAUUGGAGGAAGUUGCAUUAACACGCGAUGUGGAUUGGUUGCAUUUAGUUUCAUCCAAGCAGGGCAUGAACAAUGUGCACAAAGAUUGGUUCUACUUGGCUGUGAAUAUGGAGGCAUGGAAGGGGAUGGCAUUGGCUGUGAAUAUGGAGGCAUGGAAGUGA
rnacentral:rRNA from 1 species